GACGAACGCUGGCGGCGUGCCUAAUACAUGCAAGUUGAGCGCUGAAGGUUGGUACUUGUACCGACUGGAUGAGCAGCGAACGGGUGAGUAACGCGUGGGGCAUCUGCCUUUGAGCGGGGGACAACAUUUGGAAACGAAUGCUAAUACCGCAUAAAAACUUUAAACACAAGUUUUAAGUUUGAAAGAUGCCAUUGCAUCACUCAAUGAUGAUCCCGCGUUGUAUUAGCUAGUUGGUGAGGUAAAGGCUCACCAAGGCGAUGAUACAUAGCCGACCUGAGAGGGUGAUCGGCCACAUUGGGACUGUGACACGGCCCAUACUCCUACGGGAGGCAGCAGUAGGGAAACGUCGGCAAGGGACGAAAGUCUGACCGAGCAACGCCGCGGGAGUGAAGAAGGAUGUCGGAUCGUAAAACUCUGUUGGUAGGGAAGAACGUUGGUGAGAGUGGAAAGCUCAUCAAGUGACGGUAACUACCCAGAAAGGGACGGCUAACUACGUG
rnacentral:rRNA from 1 species